CGGAAUGUAGUGCAGCCUGGUAGCGCACCUGCAUAGGGUCGGAGGUUCGAAUCCUCUCAUUCCGACCA
rnacentral:tRNA from 2 species